rnacentral:rRNA from 1 species
UACGUAGGUCCCGAGCGUUGUCCGGAUUUAUUGGGCGUAAAGCGAGCGCAGGUGGUUUAAUAAGUCUGAUGUAAAAGGCAGUGGCUCAACCAUUGUGUGCAUUGGAAACUGUUAGACUUGAGUGCAGUAGAGGAGAGUGGAAUUCCAUGUGUAGCGGUGAAAUGCGUAGAUAUCAGGAGGAACACCGGUGGCGAAGGCGGUCAUCUGGCCCACUAUUGACGCUGAGGCACGAAAGCGUGGGGAGCAAACAGG